UACGUAGGGUGCGAGCGUUGUCCGGAAUUAUUGGGCGUAAAGAGCUCGUAGGCGGUGUGUCGCGUCGGCCGUGAAAACCUGGGGCUCAACUCUGGGCGUGCGGUCGAUACGGGCAUCACUGGAGUUCGGCAGGGGAGACUGGAAUUCCUGGUGUAGCGGUGAAAUGCGCAGAUAUCAGGAGGAACACCGGUGGCGAAGGCGGGUCUCUGGUACGUGACUGACGCUGAGACGCGAAAGCGUGGGGGAGCGAACAGG
rnacentral:rRNA from 1 species